rnacentral:miRNA from 1 species
UUUGGGAUCAUCAGGACAGCC